rnacentral:rRNA from 1 species
GCGUGAGUGAUGAAGGCCUUAGGGUUGUAAAGCUCUUUCGCCGGGGAAGAUAAUGACGGUACCCGGAGAAGAAGCCCCGGCUAACUUCGUGCCAGCAGCCGCGGUAAUACGAAGGGGGCUAGCGUUGUUCGGAAUUACUGGGCGUAAAGCGCACGUAGGCGGGUCGUUAAGUCAGGGGUGAAAGCCCGGAGCUCAACUCCGGAAUUGCCCUUGAUACUGGCGACCUUGAGUCCGAGAGAGGUAAGUGGAACUCCGAGUGUAGAGGUGAAAUUCGU